CUGCAAAAAGGGAAAUUACAGAGAAAUGGGGCUGCUUCUUAAAAUUAGACGUCUGAUCUCAAAGACUAAAUGUGGAAGUGGACCAAGGAGAGAACCUUUUGGAAAGGUUCCCCUGAGCAGCCUGCACUAAAAGCUAGGUGAAAAUUGUCACUGGAAGAAUGAAAACCUCCUGAAAAGAGCUGGUGAGACCCAAGGGGAAUGACGAUCCUCCUCGAAAGUCCUGCCCAAGACCCAAAUGGUCAACGCCAAGGGACAGCGCACGGAUGUGACAACUACUGCAGCUCAUCCUCCAUCAUACAAAGAAACACAAAAGCCCUUUUCAGGGUUAUUAAACCACCUGAGAUCACCCGGAUUCAGCUUGCAGCGUGCAAGUUCUUCCUCUGGGUGUACGCUUUCGGGUCUUGCUGCUUCAGCAAGGGCUGGGAAGUUUUGUAAAAGGAAAAACCAAAAGCAGAGCGUUCCCCAUGGCGUGGGGUCCCAUCCCGUAGAGCUGCGCGCGGUCACUGUGCGCGGGUGACACCGCCAGGAGAAAAGGUGCAGAAUUCAUCUCAAGGCUGAAGAAAUUGGAAUGAGGGUGAGAGCGGAGGAAUUCGAGCUGGCCGGGUUAUGGCCAGGCAGAUUUCAAGGUGAUCUGAUCACAGCCUGUAAUAAAUUCACCCAACGGGAUGGCCGCAUCCUGAGUGCCGUGUUGCGUCGGCAGAGAGAGGCACAGCGAACGCCAGGCUGGGGAGCAAGCAGCGGAUAAACUGCAGUGGAGAAACAGAAGAUAUUCUUUUCACGAGGUCUGUGGUUGAGCAUUGGGAACCCCUCCCCCUCCCUUGGUUUCCGUGGAGAAAAAGGGGAAGCCCCUGAGAAGAAGACGUUUUGCUCCAGUAUGAGCUGUUGGUGGCCCCACGAGUUGCUGGGUGAAGAGGAAGGAACGUGGUUUAUGAGAAAUGAACCAAAGAUCUUCUGGUCUUCAACAGGAGAAGCUUUGGAGAAGCUGCCCGCCAGGGCUGGGGAGAUGGAUGUGGUACAACAGAAAGUUGUGUGCUCUUGCAUGGACUCAACAGCUUUGGUGCUGGAGGCAUCUACUGUGGAGCCCAUGGGUUGGAUCUUGCCCUCUUGCAUCUGACUGCAUCUGGAGCUCAAAAUGUAUCUACAAAACAGACCUACAACGUUCAGCCUCUAUCCCUGCUACCCCCCUCCUCUCUGCACACAUUGGAGGAGACGGCAGAAGAGCGCUCGUAAUAGAAAUAAAUUUAUUUACUCUAAGAAAUCUGGGAUGUCUGCACGUUACAAAAAUAAAAAUGUACAGUUAUUAUCACAAAA